UUUGUUAUUAAGCAGGCGAAAUAACUACGUUAAAAGCAUUUGCUGUGGCACGAGAAUWAGAUUGGCGCACGCAAAAGGCCAAAAGUCUGCGCCAUUUGCUCAAUUAUGUCGCCAAACAAUGUGCGCCAGUGCGUAUAAGCAACGAUGCCCCACAUACUAAUGCACAGCUGUAGCAAGGACACUAA